GUGGGGAAUAUUGGGCAAUGGGCGCAAGCCUGACCCAGCAACGCCGCGUGAAGGAAGAAGGCUUUCGGGUUGUAAACUUCUUUUACCAGGGACGAAACAAAUGACGGUACCUGGUGAAUAAGCCACGGCUAACUACGUGCCAGCAGCCGCGGUAAUACGUAGGUGGCGAGCGUUAUCCGGAUUUAUUGGGUGUAAAGGGCGUGUAGGCGGGACAGCAAGUCAGAUGUGAAAACCAGAGGCUCAACCUCUGGCCUGCAUUUGAAACUGUUGUUCUUGAGUGUCGGAGAGGUAAUCGGAAUUCCGUGUGUAGCGGUGAAAUGCGUAGAUAUCUGGAGGAACAUCAGUGGCGAAGGCGACUUACUGGACUGUAACUGACGCUGAGGCGCGAAAGUGUGGGGAGCAAACAGGAUUAGAUACCCGGGUAGUCC
rnacentral:rRNA from 1 species